GUCAGGAUGGCCGAGCGGUCUAAGGCGCUGCGUUCAAGGUCGCAGUCUCUUCUGGAGGCGUGGGUUCAAAUCCCACUUCUGACA